rnacentral:rRNA from 1 species
AGUGGGGAAUAUUGGACAAUGGGCGAAAGCCUGAUCCAGCCAUGCCGCGUGUGUGAAGAAGGCCUUUUGGUUGUAAAGCACUUUAAGCGAGGAGGAGGCUACCGAGAUUAAUACUCUAGGAUAGUGGACGUUACUCGCAGAAUAAGCACCGGCUAACUCUGUGCCAGCAGCCGCGGUAAUACAGAGGGUGCGAGCGUUAAUCGGAUUUACUGGGCGUAAAGCGUGCGUAGGCGGCUUUUUAAGUCGGAUGUGAAAUCCCUGAGCUUAACUUAGGAAUUGCAUUCGAUACUGGGAAGCUAGAGUAUGGGAGAGGAUGGUAGAAUUCCAGGUGUAGCGGUGAAAUGCGUAGAGAUCUGGAGGAAUACCGAUGGCGAAGGCAGCCAUCUGGCCUAAUACUGACGCUGAGGUACGAAAGCAUGGGGAGCAAA